rnacentral:rRNA from 1 species
UCAGGAUGAACGCUAGCGACAGGCUAACACAUGCAAGUCGAGGGGCAGCAUAGAAGUAGCAAUACGUUGGUGGCGACCGGCGCACGGGUGAGUAACGCGUAUGCAACCUACCUAUCAGGAGGGGAAUAACCCGGCGAAAGUCGGACUAAUACCGCAUAAAACAGGGGCACCGCAUGGUGAUAUUUGUUAAAGAAAUUCGCUGAUAGAUGGGCAUGCGUUCCAUUAGGUAGUUGGUGAGGUAACGGCUCACCAAGCCGACGAUGGAUAGGGGAACUGAGAGGUUGGCCCCCCACACUGGUACUGAGACACGGACCAGACUCCUACGGGAGGCAGCAGUGAGGAAUAUUGGUCAAUGGGCGGGAGCCUGAACCAGCCAAGUCCGCGUGAAGGAAGAAGGAUCUAUGGUUCGUAAACUUCUUUUGCAGGGGAAUAAAGUGCAGGACGUGUCCUGUUUUGUAUGUACCCUGAGAAUAAGGCUCGACUAACUCCGUGCCAGCCGCGGC